CUGAUCAUGUAAAGUUGUUAACUCUGUUGCUUAACACCUGUGAAGUCCAAGCUUGCCACAGAGCAGCUUUCCUGUGUACCAGUGAGCAGAUGGCUGUGAGUUCUUAUUUCGUGGGUAGGUCAGUUCAUGGCCUCCAGCAUGAUUGGCUCCUGACUUUCAGGUAACAGAUCUGUCCUCUGAGUUGUCACCACACCCACCUCCUUUCAUCCACGCUGAGGAAAAGAGCCCUCCACUUAGCAAAGGCCUAGCCCAGUGUCCUGCAGGAGCGUUCCGUGUCCCCAGCAUCCCUGGAGAAGAGAAGCAGCCCCUGUGUGAGAGGAUCUAAGGUGAAGCUCUAAGAAGUUAAGUAAUGUGCCAGCGUACACACAGCUGAUCUCCGCUGGAGCCCAAACUUGAACUCGGGUCUGCUAAGGUCAGAUGAUCUUUUCACCUCACCCACCUCAACUGCCAGGAAAAGUAUACAUGGAAACAUUGCAUAAGAAAUGACGCGACAACCUGAGGAUGAGAAUGUAGAGGAAACGCUGUGUCUGGCGGCGACUACAAGGUACAGGGUAGUGUCCAGGCCACAGUGACUUGGAUGACAGAGAUGGUGAGGGGGUGAU